AACGGCUUACCAAGGCAGCGAUAGGUAGGGGUCCUGAGAGGGAGAUCCCCCACACUGGUACUGAGACACGGACCAGACUCCUACGGGAGGCAGCAGUGAGGAAUAUUGGACAAUGGGCGAGGGCCUGAUCCAGCCAUGCCGCGUGCAGGAAGACUGCCCUAUGGGUUGUAAACUGCUUUUACAGAGGAAGAACCACCCCCACGUGUGGGGGUUUGACGGUACUCUGCGAAUAAGGAUCGGCUAACUCCGUGCCAGCAGCCGCGGUAAUACGGAGGAUCCAAGCGUUAUCCGGAAUCAUUGGGUUUAAAGGGUCCGUAGGCGGGCAGUUAAGUCAGUGGUGAAAGUCUUCCGCUCAACGGGAGAACUGCCAUUGAUACUGAUUGUCUUGAGUUAUUAUGAAGUGGUUAGAAUGAGUAGUGUAGCGGUGAAAUGCAUAGAUAUUACUCAGAAUACCGAUUGCGAAGGCAGAUCACUAAUAAUAUACUGACGCUGAUGGACGAAAGCGUAGGUAGCGAACAGGAUUAGAUACCCUGGU
rnacentral:rRNA from 1 species